rnacentral:rRNA from 1 species
UUAAGCGACUAAGCGUACACGGUGGAUGCCCUGGCAGUCAGAGGCGAUGAAGGACGUGCUAAUCUGCGAUAAGCGUCGGUAAGGUGAUAUGAACCGUUAUAACCGGCGAUUUCCGAAUGGGGAAACCCAGUGUGAUUCGUCACACUAUCAUUAACUGAAUCCAUAGGUUAAUGAGGCGAACCGGGGGAACUGAAACAUCUAAGUACCCCGAGGAAAAGAAAUCAACCGAGAUUCCCCCAGUAGCGGCGAGCGAACGGGGAGCAGCCCAGAGCCUGAAUCAGUGUGUGUGUUAGUGGAAGCGUCUGGAAAGGCGCGCGAUACAGGGUGACAGCCCCGUACACAAAAAUGCACAUGCUGUGAGCUCGAUGAGUAGGGCGGGACACGUGGUAUCCUGUCUGAAUAUGGGGGGACCAUCCUCCAAGGCUAAAUACUCCUGACUGACCGAUAGUGAACCAGUACCGUGAGGGAAAGGCGAAAAGAACCCCGGCGAGGGGAGUGAAAAAGAACCUGAAACCGUGUACGUACAAGCAGUGGGAGCACGCUUAGGCGUGUGACUGCGUACCUUUUGUAUAAUGGGUCAGCGACUUAUAUUCUGUAGCAAGGUUAACCGAAUAGGGGAGCCGAAGGGAAACCGAGUCUUAACUGGGCGUUAAGUUGCAGGGUAUAGACCCGAAACCCGGUGAUCUAGCCAUGGGCAGGUUGAAGGUUGGGUAACACUAACUGGAGGACCGAACCGACUAAUGUUGAAAAAUUAGCGGAUGACUUGUGGCUGGGGGUGAAAGGCCAAUCAAACCGGGAGAUAGCUGGUUCUCCCCGAAAGCUAUUUAGGUAGCGCCUCGUGAAUUCAUCUCCGGGGGUAGAGCACUGUUUCGGCAAGGGGGUCAUCCCGACUUACCAACCCGAUGCAAACUGCGAAUACCGGAGAAUGUUAUCACGGGAGACACACGGCGGGUGCUAACGUCCGUCGUGAAGAGGGAAACAACCCAGACCGCCAGCUAAGGUCCCAAAGUCAUGGUUAAGUGGGAAACGAUGUGGGAAGGCCCAGACAGCCAGGAUGUUGGCUUAGAAGCAGCCAUCAUUUAAAGAAAGCGUAAUAGCUCACUGGUCGAGUCGGCCUGCGCGGAAGAUGUAACGGGGCUAAACCAUGCACCGAAGCUGCGGCAGCGACGCUUAUGCGUUGUUGGGUAGGGGAGCGUUCUGUAAGCCUGUGAAGGUGUGCUGUGAGGCAUGCUGGAGGUAUCAGAAGUGCGAAUGCUGACAUAAGUAACGAUAAAGCGGGUGAAAAGCCCGCUCGCCGGAAGACCAAGGGUUCCUGUCCAACGUUAAUCGGGGCAGGGUGAGUCGACCCCUAAGGCGAGGCCGAAAGGCGUAGUCGAUGGGAAACAGGUUAAUAUUCCUGUACUUGGUGUUACUGCGAAGGGGGGACGGAGAAGGCUAUGUUGGCCGGGCGACGGUUGUCCCGGUUUAAGCGUGUAGGCUGGUUUUCCAGGCAAAUCCGGAAAAUCAAGGCUGAGGCGUGAUGACGAGGCACUACGGUGCUGAAGUAACAAAUGCCCUGCUUCCAGGAAAAGCCUCUAAGCAUCAGGUAACAUCAAAUCGUACCCCAAACCGACACAGGUGGUCAGGUAGAGAAUACCAAGGCGCUUGAGAGAACUCGGGUGAAGGAACUAGGCAAAAUGGUGCCGUAACUUCGGGAGAAGGCACGCUGAUAUGUAGGUGAAGCGACUUGCUCGUGGAGCUGAAAUCAGUCGAAGAUACCAGCUGGCUGCAACUGUUUAUUAAAAACACAGCACUGUGCAAACACGAAAGUGGACGUAUACGGUGUGACGCCUGCCCGGUGCCGGAAGGUUAAUUGAUGGGGUCAGCGCAAGCGAAGCUCUUGAUCGAAGCCCCGGUAAACGGCGGCCGUAACUAUAACGGUCCUAAGGUAGCGAAAUUCCUUGUCGGGUAAGUUCCGACCUGCACGAAUGGCGUAAUGAUGGCCAGGCUGUCUCCACCCGAGACUCAGUGAAAUUGAACUCGCUGUGAAGAUGCAGUGUACCCGCGGCAAGACGGAAAGACCCCGUGAACCUUUACUAUAGCUUGACACUGAACAUUGAGCCUUGAUGUGUAGGAUAGGUGGGAGGCUUGGAAGUGUGGACGCCAGUCUGCAUGGAGCCGACCUUGAAAUACCACCCUUUAAUGUUUGAUGUUCUAACGUUGACCCGUAAUCCGGGUUGCGGACAGUGUCUGGUGGGUAGUUUGACUGGGGCGGUCUCCUCCUAAAGAGUAACGGAGGAGCACGAAGGUUGGCUAAUCCUGGUCGGACAUCAGGAGGUUAGUGCAAUGGCAUAAGCCAGCUUGACUGCGAGCGUGACGGCGCGAGCAGGUGCGAAAGCAGGUCAUAGUGAUCCGGUGGUUCUGAAUGGAAGGGCCAUCGCUCAACGGAUAAAAGGUACUCCGGGGAUAACAGGCUGAUACCGCCCAAGAGUUCAUAUCGACGGCGGUGUUUGGCACCUCGAUGUCGGCUCAUCACAUCCUGGGGCUGAAGUAGGUCCCAAGGGUAUGGCUGUUCGCCAUUUAAAGUGGUACGCGAGCUGGGUUUAGAACGUCGUGAGACAGUUCGGUCCCUAUCUGCCGUGGGCGCUGGAGAACUGAGGGGGGCUGCUCCUAGUACGAGAGGACCGGAGUGGACGCAUCACUGGUGUUCGGGUUGUCAUGCCAAUGGCACUGCCCGGUAGCUAAAUGCGGAAGAGAUAAGUGCUGAAAGCAUCUAAGCACGAAACUUGCCCCGAGAUGAGUUCUCCCUGACCCCUUAAGAGUCCUGAAGGAACGUUGAAGACGACGACGUUGAUAGGCCGGGUGUGUAAGCGCAGCGAUGCGUUGAGCUAACCGGUACUAAUGAACCGUGAGGCUUAACCUU